AGUCUUAUAUUCAUAUAAUGAUAUUAAAUUGCAAAUUUAAAGGAAUAAAAUAAUAUUUAUUAAGACUU
rnacentral:tRNA from 1 species